rnacentral:lncRNA from 1 species
GAUGAAGGAGUGUGGGAACAUUCUGCACACAGGUGACUAAGGCAAGUUCUUUGCAGGAAUUUGUAGAUGAAGAGACGGCAGAGGUAUUUUUUGCCUCCCACCCGCAAGCCAAGUGAGAGGAAAAACUAGAGGAGAGCUGGGACAGAGUGGGUGCUGCUUCCUGGAGGUAUCUUCUACCCAGAAUGAUGGCCUGAUAACAACACGACCAACGAGAAGGUCUUUGCCCUUUUCUUCCAAUCCCUGAGGCCGGAGGGCUGCCUCAUCUUCAUACUGCUGGUCUGCGAAAACAAGGAUCAGAACGGAGAGAAAUGCAGGUGAAAUUUUUGAGUUGGUUGUUAAGAUUGACAA